rnacentral:lncRNA from 12 species
AUGGCAUACAUAAAGCAAGAGCCAGAAAGUGAAGAGGAAUCCCAAAGGCCACAGGCGGGCCCAAGAGAGACACAUGAUAACGCCACGAGAGCGCGGCGGAUGUGCGCCCAAGUGCGGAAUGACAGCUCUCCCAACCCAAGGCGCUCGGAAGCGCGCGCACUCUGGGACCCACGGAUGCGAACGCGCACCUUACAGGUCGGCGCGGCGGGUCCCCCGGGGCUCUGCGCUUCCCCUCUGCCCGCACAGGCGUCUCAGUGGCUCAAAGACCGUGUCCGGGGCCAAGGUCGACCCACCACCUCCCUUCUUGCUGCUCAGGCCCCAGCGUCACGCGCAAACCCACCCAGCACACCUGCCCACCCACUGCCUCUCUUUCAGGCGCGCUUCUGCCCUUCCCCUGACUGUCUCCCUACCUGCCCUGGGCAGAAGCCGGAAGUAGGCCGGCCGGCCGCCAUGCCCGCCUCCGCGGGGGCCUAUCUGUGGGCCUGCAACGCCCUGCGGCCUGUGGGGGCCAUGGCACCUCGGGGCACCACAGGGACCUGCUGCUCCACUAUCUGCUCUCACCAGGGGGCUGAAGGCCAAGGGUGCGCUGAGGGGCGAGCGGGAGGGAGGUACGGCCGCAGCCCCACGGGGCUCGGCUCUGCCCACCGCCCGUGGCGGUCCCGCUUCCUCUCGCGUGAGUACGCGGCGCGUGCGUGGAGAGGGCGCCUGGAGGGGCUGCCGUGGGGCACGCACGCCGGACGUGGGCGUCACGGCCUCGCGCCUCGGGGGCGCUUCCUGCUGGGGCCGGGACUUCCGGCGGGGCUGCGGGGAGCCGCUGCGGGACGGCGCUGCAGGCCGGUCGGCGCGGCUUCGACGUGCGGACCUACACGGGCGCCCACGGCACGCGGCCUGCGGGGCAGCACCGGCGGACGGAAGCUGGCGCUGGGACGCGGGCGCGCCGCCACCUCUUCCAGCGGCGGCUCGCUCGCCUGGCGCGCGGACUGCUCUGCGGACAGCCCCUGGGCUGAUGGACCACGACCGGCCCUGCCCGCGGACGCCCGGGCCCGGGACACGGGGAGGACCCAGGAACCGGCUUUGACCCGGCUCUCAGGCACGUGGCCCCAGGGCAGCCUCAGUGUCCACCUGCCGCCUGCGCGCAUGGGCUCCUCUGAGCCGUCUGUCCAGCGUGGGCAGCUCUCCAGGGACCCUGGAAUGUGUGCACGUGUUUACUGGAGGAGCAAGCUGGACGACUGGCCCCGAGCCGCGGCUCACAGAGCCUGUUCCCAGCGCCGGGGCCGAGGGUCCCCUAGGCCGCCCCCCGCCCGGCGUGCAGAAGCCCGCGCAGGCGCAGGACCAGGGCGCACCUAG